AGGGGGGGAAAAGUCACAUUAAACUUUUUCUGGUUGAAAGGCCUUAUCUUGCUUGCCACCGUGGUGUAUUCGAAGACUGGCGUGGGUCUUUGUUCCCAGUUCUCCAAGUUAUCGGACGAAAGGCCGUCUCCCAUUCUCAUUUUGUACAUCUGCAUCCCGGGAGCCAGCAAAUCCCUCUGAAAGUGUCGCUGUCGAGGUUAAGGGGUCCUGCCCGACGAGAACGAGGCUUGGUGAGCAAUUUUCGAAGAAAAAUUUCCGAACCUCUGACCCGAAGGAGAGAUGCGGCGCCCAGAAGACUGGACCGAACGAUAUUGGGGAACCGGGCUUUCAAACCGAUCCGGAGGAAAUUGAACACACCGCACUGAGGUGCGGAUGUGAAACGUGAACGGAAAGAAACCCGGGAGUUCCUUGGGGAGAGCGAACAAAGGAGGGGACGGGGUAAAAGACGGAACACCACCCCCCACCUCAAUUUUGUGUCAAUCGAAUGUCGUUUAGAAUUGGAAUAAAGGUCAUUUAAGAUUUUUCUCGA